rnacentral:rRNA from 1 species
AUUGAACGCUGGCGGUAGGCCUAACACAUGCAAGUCGAGCGGAUGACGGGAGCUUGCUCCUUGAUUCAGCGGCGGACGGGUGAGUAAUGCCUAGGAAUCUGCCUGGUAGUGGGGGACGACGUUUCGAAAGGAACGCUAAUACCGCAUACGUCCUACGGGAUAAAGCAGGGGACCUUCGGGCCUUGCGCUAUCAGAUGAGCCUAGGUCGGAUUAGCUAGUUGGUGGGGUAAUGGCUCACCAAGGCGACGAUCCGUAACUGGUCUGAGAGGAUGAUCAGUCACACUGGAACUGAGACACGGUCCAGACUCCUACGGGAGGCAGCGGUGGGGAAUAUUGGACAAUGGGCGAAAGCCUGAUCCAGCCAUGCCGCGUGUGUGAAGAAGGUCUUCGGAUUGUAAAGCACUUUAAGUUGGGAGGAAGGGCAGUAAGCUAAUACCUUGCUGUUUUGACGUUACCGACAGAAUAAGCACCGGCUAACUCUGUGCCAGCCGCCGCCGUAAUAC